rnacentral:rRNA from 1 species
GAUGAACGCUGGCGGCGUGCUUAACACAUGCAAGUCGAACGAAGCACUUUAUUUGAUUUCCUUCGGGACUGAUUAUUUUGUGACUGAGUGGCGGACGGGUGAGUAACGCGUGGGUAACCUGCCUUGUACAGGGGGAUAACAGUUGGAAACGGCUGCUAAUACCGCAUAAGCGCACAGCAUCGCAUGAUGCAGUGUGAAAAACUCCGGUGGUAUAAGAUGGACCCGCGUUGGAUUAGCUAGUUGGUGAGGUAACGGCCCACCAAGGCGACGAUCCAUAGCCGACCUGAGAGGGUGACCGGCCACUUUGGGACUGAGACACGGCCCAAACUCCUACGGGAGGCAGCAGUGGGGAAUAUUGCACAAUGGGCGAAAGCCUGAUGCAGCGACGCCGCGUGAGCGAAGAAGUAUUUCGGUAUGUAAAGCUCUAUCAGCAGGGAAGAUAAUGACGGUACCUGACUAAGAAGCACCGGCUAAAUACGUG